AUUGAACGCUGGCGGCAGGCCUAACUCCUGCAAGUCGAACGAGUGGCGGACGGGUGAGUAAUGUCUGGGAAACUGCCUGAUGUAGGGGGUUAACUACUGGAAACGGUAGCUAAUACCGCAUACCAUCGGAUGUGCCCAGAUGGGAUUAGCUAGUAGGUGGGGUAACGGCUCACCUAGGCCCCGAUCCCUAGCUGGUCUGAGAGGCUGACCAGCCACACGGUACCUGAGACACGGUCCAGACUCCUACGGGAGGCAGCAGUGGGGAAUAUUGCACAAUGGGCGCAAGCCUGAUGCAGCCAUGCCGCGUGUAUGAAGAAGGCCUUCGGGUUGUAAAGUACUUUCAGCGGGGAGGCGUUACCCGCAGAAUAAGCACCGGCUAACUCCGUGCCAGCCGCCGCGGUAAUUC
rnacentral:rRNA from 1 species